GAGUUUGAUUCUGGCUCAGGAUGAACGCUGGCGGCAUGCCUAACACAUGCAAGUUGAACGAGAAGUUCUGGAGGGAGUCUUCGGACGAACGAAGGGAUGGAAAGUAGCGAACGGGUGAGUAACGCGUGGGCAACCAACCUUACACAGGGGGAUAACACAGAGAAAUCUGUGCUAAUACCGCAUAAGCGCACAGUAUCACAUGAUACGGUGUGAAAAACUCUGGUGGUGUAAGACGGGCCCGCGUCUGAUUAGCUAGUUGGUGGGGUAAAAGCCUACCAAGGCGACGAUCAGUAGCCGACCUGAGAGGGUGAUCGGCCACAUUGGGACUGAGACACGGCCCAAACUCCUACGGGAGGCAGCAGUGGGGGAUAUUGCACAAUGGAGGAAACUCUGAUGCAGCAAUGCCGCGUGAAGGAAGACGGUUUUCGGAUUGUAAACUUCUAUCAGCAGGGAAGAAAAUGACGUACCUGACUAAGAGCCCC
rnacentral:rRNA from 1 species